rnacentral:rRNA from 1 species
UCGCGCAGAACCUUACCUACCCUUGACAUGCCGGUCGCGAUUUCCAGAGAUGGAUUUCUUCAAUUCGGUUGGACCGUGCACAGGUGUUGCAUGGCUGUCG